rnacentral:rRNA from 1 species
UACGUAGGGGGCAAGCGUUGGUCCGGAAUCAUUGGGCGUAAAGCGUACGCAGGCUGUUCGUUAAGUCGGGUGUGAAAGCCCGGGGCUCAACCCCGGAACGGCGCCCGAAACUGGCGAGCUUGAAUGCGGGAGAGGGAAGCGGAAUUCCUGGUGUAGAGGUGAAAUUCGUAGAUAUCAGGAGGAACACCGGUGGCGAAAGCGGCUUCCUGGCCCGACAUUGACGCUCAUGUACGAAAGCGUGGGGAGCAAACAGG